UAACAGUCGAAAGGAGGUGAUCCAGUGUCUCAUUGUCAUCAAUCGCGUGCGGUGGCCGCGACCCUGGUCCUCGUUGGGGGCCCGGCCUGAUCCUUUCGGGCUGAGUUGCGGUCCGGCCGUUCGCGGUCAGACAAUGAAGGGCCGUCGCGGCGACGCGGCGGCCC
rfam:Caulobacterales bacterium RIFOXYB1_FTLL_67_16 rifoxyb1_full_scaffold_3726, whole genome shotgun sequence.